CUGAUUUCCAAUGGAUAAGAAGUCACACAUGGCAACAGUACGGAGAAAAGCAUUUUAAGCAGAGGGUACAGCAGAUACAAACAGCCUGAGGCAGGAAGAUUUAAGUGUGUUUGAAUAAGACUGACUCUGGUGUAGGGAGUAGCUUAACCUGAGGCUGGAGAGAUAUCAGGAGACAGGAUCUGUAGAGCCAUCCAGCCCUUGUGCAGAGUUUGGAUUUAUUACACAUGUAAUGAAAGCCGCUGAAGGUUUUAAUGUAAGGUUUAAUUUAUGUUCUUGCUCAUAAUGUGGAAAAUGGAUUGUAGAGGAACAAGUAUGAAUUGAGAGACCCUUCAACGAGGUGCUGACAUAGUGCAGGUGAAGGAUGAGCCAUGGCCAGGGUGUUCACCAUGGAGACAGAGAAAAGUUGACAGUCAAGAUAUUUUAGGGGGAACAAUCAAAUGGAGUUGCUGCAACUGCUAUAUAGGGGUUAUGGGAAAGGGAAAAUCGGGACUGACUCAGAUUUCUGAAUUGGGCAACCGACGGAUAAUGCUGCCAUUUAUUGGCAUAGGACAGAUAGAGGAGGAAUUGAUUCAUGCAGGGGAAAUGAGAAGUUCUAUCUUGGACACGUUUAAUUUGAGAUGUUUGUAAGACAUCCAGGUUGAACUGUCAAGUAAGCAGAGCUGGAUAUGGUGCUCAGAAAAAAUGGGUUGAAGACACAAACUUUGGAGUCUUGAGUCAUAAUGAGAUUUUUAAAGCUGUGAAUUAAUGGAACCACCCAGUGAAAAAUGAUAACAGGAGAAGAGAAGAGGACCCAAUACUGUCAACACUUAAAAGGAGAAAUAGCAGCUGGGAGAAACCAGUGAGUUUGGAAAGCAGAGAACCAAUGGCCUGAUGAUAACCAAGAGAAGAGUAUUUUGAGAAACAAAUGGCCCACUCCACCCAAUGCUGCUGAAAGGAAUUGGUGACCAAGACCCAGAGUCAAAGGCAAAGACAUAUCAAGAAUCUCUCAUUCUGAAGAGAGCUGCCAACAGCUGGAGGCCAUAUACUCCCCGAAGACUUUUUAUUAGGGGGCACCAUUCACAUAGACUUCAACAGCAGUGGCAUCAACAGGCCUACAAAGUGGUGGUGGUAAAAAACACACUUGAGACCAUCAUAUGUAUCUGAAAUCAGAUACGAUACCUGAAAAACAUAAAUCAAAUUAAUGCUCAUAUGGUUGCUUGCUGUCCAAGGAAUUCAAAGCAAAGGUGGAAACUGACCCUUACAUCACUUCUUCCUUCUAGAUGAAUAGCAUCAGCUACAUUUUCUUUCCCAUUAUGUAAUGUUUCUAUUCUGACCACCCACCUGUGAUGGACAUAGUCUUUUUAGAUGUGUUAGUUUUAAUAUUAGUCAAGACUUAGUCUCAACCGUUCUCUAUUAAGUGACUUUGCAGAUAUCUGAUGUCAUCUCCAUUAAUGCAGAUUUUCAUGUCAGAUUCAGCUCUGAGUUCACCUUAAUGCGGUGGUGGUUCCCAUAGUGUAGUGCCCAGGCCCCCGCAUCAACAUCACUUGGGAACUUGUUAGAAAGGCAAGUUCCUGGUUCCCAACUCAGACCUACCUACCAAGUCAGAAAUCUAAGUGUGGGGCCUGCAAUCUGUGUUUUUACAAGCCUAACAGGGGAUACUAAUGCAUGCUAAAGUUUGAGAACCACUGACUUAAUAUACAGUUUCCAACCCGGAUGACACUAGAAACAACUACGGGACUUUACAAAAAUAUGGGUGUCCUGGCUUCCCCCAGAGCCACUAGGGUAGUGGAAACAAAUGUCACUAUCAAAUGGAUCUGGGUUUGAAUUCUGGUUUUGUCACUCACCAGCUAUGUGCCUUGUGGAGGCUCCAUCUUCUCAUCUGUAAAGUAAAAGUCAUCGGACCUGCCUUGUAGGAAGGUGUAGGAGGGGAAGGUUCAGCAAAUGCCUCAUAGAGAGAUUGACUCAUAGUACAUCUUCUUCCUUGGCCUCCACCGCAACUAGAAUCUUAUUCACCCGGCCUGUGAGGGUACAGUUCUCACCUUGCCCCAGAAUCACCAGGUGAGAAUGAUUUGCUAGACCCGCUUUCUGAAGUUUCACAAAUGGACAAACAUUUUCACAGCUGUUACUGGGAUUUUGCCAUAAAUCAGCAGGAACACACCCGAGAUCUGACAAAGCUAUUUCAAACUCUAGAUCAAUGAGGAGGGAAGUUGCUAUGAAGCCGGGUUUGCCAACUGAGAGCAUUGUAAUUGUUCGAGUUGCUCUUGGGAUCUAGCUCAGAUUCCUGCUGACACCAGAGAAGUGAAGAAUGAAAAUAGUUGCCUAGAAAAUCAGAAGCAGCUCCCCAAGUUACCUGCCACAUACAGGUUUGUUUUUCCUUAAUUAUCUAGGUAAUUGCUUUGCUUCCUCUACCUGCCUUUACCAAGAGAUGCCUGGCCAGAAGAGCGAGGAAUUAAAGUACCUGUGGAGGCUGCCCACCGAGUGAAGCUGCAGGCUGCCCAUCCCAUCGCAGUAGCUCCUUAGUUGUCACCCAAAGUCAAAUCCUUUUAUUUAAAAACAUAAUAUGCAGAAUGGCUUCCUAAAACAAAAAUUGGGAAAAUUGUUAACAUAGAGACUUCCAGGUUUUGCCAAGGGUACAACUGUUUUCUUAAACACAGUUUUUAACAAUUACGUACAAAUCAAACCAAAGUUCAUCCAACCCACUCUCUGAAUUAGUCUCAGUACAAUGCGCAUAGACAGCUAUCACUAGAGUUAGUGAAUAUUAUGGGAAAAAUUAGAGGCAAAAGUUGAGACUGGAGCCGGUGAGAGUUAACAAAAACACUAUUUAUAUAGAGAAAAAUACAUUUUAGAGAAGUAUAAACAUACUGCUUGGCAUCAACAUAAAAGCCCAAGUGCAAGUCAAAGGUAACCCAAAAGGCUCAUAGGUCCUCAGACUACAGAAACCCCCCUACUGAUGGCAACAGAAGGUCUGGCCUUCCACAUGCUACUUCCUUAGUGUUUGUGGGGGAAAAAAAAAUCCCACUGUAUAAAUUAGAAUAGGCCAGAUCAUGCUACAGUAACAAAUAACCCCAAAGUCUCAGUAGCUUACAACCACAAAGGUUUACCUCUUUCCCACUGUAUUCAGGGUUUUCCAGAGAAACAGAACCAAUAAGGGAUUUAAUAGAGAGAGAGGGGAUGAGGGGGAGAGAUAGUGAUAUGGUUUGGCUCUGUGUCCCCACCCAAAUCCCACCAGGAACUGUAAUCCCCAUAAUCCCCAUGUGUCAAGGUCAGGACCAGGUGGAGGUAAUUGGAUCAUGGGUGCAGUUCCCCCAAGCUGUUCUUGUGAUAGUGAGUUCUCACGAUAUCUCAUGGUUUUAUAAGCAUCUGGCAUUUCCCCAGCUUGCACUCUAUCCUGCCACCCUUGUGAAGAAGGUGCCUGCUUCUCCUUUACCUUGCGCCAUGAUUGUAAGUUACCUGUGGCCUCCCCAGCAAUACACAACUGUGAGUCAAUUAAACCGCUUUUCUUUAUAAAUUACCUAGUCUCGGGUAUUUCUCCAUAGCAGUGUGAGAAUGGACUAACACAGAUGGACUAAUUAUGAGGAAUUAGCUCGCUUGAUUAUGAAGGCUAAGAAGUCCCAUGCUCUGCCAUCUGCAAGCUGCAGACCCAGGAAAGCUGGUAGUGUAGUUUGGUUUCGGACCCAAGGCCUGAGAACCAGUGGAGCUGAUGGUUUAAGUCUCAGUUUGAGGGCAGAAGGAGACUGAUAUCCCAGCUCAAUCAGUCAGGCAGAGGAGGUGAAUUCUCCUUUCUCCAUCUUUUGUUCUGUUCAGGCUCUCAGCAAAUUGGCUAAUACACUUCCAUUCAGGGAAGGGCAAUCUAUCUUAUGGAGUCCACUGACUCAAAUGCAAAUCUCAUCUGGAAACAUCAUCACACAAACCCAGAAAAGCUUAGUGAAAUAUCUGGCCACUCCAUGAUCCAGUCAAGUUGACACAUAAAAUUAACCAUCACACUCACAUAACAUGUUGAAUGAAAGUUGCCUCUGGCUUUGACGCCCUCCCCAAACUUGUAGGUUCCAGGAUGAUGGAGCAGCAACCAGCUGGAAUAUUAUCAGGUCCAGGGUGAGAGAAGGGAGACAUGGAGAACAGUACACUGGUUCCCAGAAAUGAUAAAUGUUUUUGCUGCUCCCAUUUCAUCGGCCACAGCAAAGCGAAUGGCCUCUCUUGAGUCUGGCAGAGUUGAAGAGUAAACUCCUUCCAUGGCAAAAGACGGAGGAAAAGUAAAAUAUUUGGCAAACAGAAAUACAGUCUACCAUACCGAUGGAAUUCUUAUGCAGUCCACACUUAACUUAUUCUGGACCUCUGCUCUGAGACUUCCCCGCAGAUCUCUACUGAAUAUCUUCUUAUCACUUUUUCACACAAGUCAGGCUCUUGUUUUAUGCAAGGAGAGUUACAGGCUCCUCCCUUAAUUUCCAAAAGUACAGCAAAUAUCUGGAUAAACAUUUAAGACAAUUUCCUGUUGGCUUGAGAAUAAUGAGGAGAAUUAUAAUGGAGAAAAAGAAAAAUACUGUACUGGAUAUGAACUAUCACUGCUCCUGGAGUUCUGUCCAUCAGCCAUGCCUCUCCACCGGCGUCCUCUCUACGUGGCCUCCCCUAGUCCAUCAAUUACCAUGAGCCACCAGUCCCCUGGGUACCUUCUCCAACCCCCCUUAUCCUCACUGCAAGAAGGGCGUUAUCCACCACAUCCUCACCCACAGGCAACAGCAUCAUAACCCUAAAAAGAUGCAAUUCUGCACAUGACAAAUUCAGCCUUUGAUAAUUCUAUUCAGAAAUGUUUAGGAUGUCUGGCUCGAGCUUCUUGAGUCUAGAAUAGAAUUUUGCCUUUGCAUAAAUAAAGGUCCCAGUGAAGAAUAAUUUUAAUCAAAGAUGAUGCAUGUCUCCUAGCGGAACAAGAGAAAAUUACAGGUAGAUUUGAAAUGUUUUUUUCUACUGCACACAAAAAGAAAAUGGUUGUGCUGCGUACAAAAAGAAAAUUAUAUACCUAGUCUGGAUGUCCCUGUAAUUUUGCAUUUUGUUUUGCUUUUUCACGUACUACGUCAUAAAUGGAUUUUGAAAUUUUAUAGAAUGUUCUUAAUUAACAUAAAGACUACAUAAUAUUCCAUCCUGAUAAACUAACAUAAUUUGUUAACACAUUCUCUUAAUUUAGACAUGUCCCUUUAAUUUAUUAUUAUCACAGUUGUCAUAAAUUGUGUAAUGUAUAUGAGCAUUUGCUUUUGUUAUAUUAUUUUAUUGAGGUAAAUUCCUAGGGAUAAAAUUAAUGGGCUAAAAGUAUGGAUGCUAUUGCUUUGUGCCAACUGUUUUAUAUCUUUCCUAAUUUACACUAAUUAUGUGUAAUUUUUACUGCAAAUUCAGUAACACUUUUAUUUGAAACUUAUGUGGUUCAGUUUAACUUAAUAAACUAAUAACCUGUGAUAUAUAGGUGAUAAUGUUUAUUUUCAAUAUGAAAGAUUUUAUCCCCCUAAAAAUCAACCUAAAAAAGCUUUGCAUUGGGAUAGGGACAGCAACUUUUGAUAUAAAAACCAUCUGAUCUAGAAAAAACAGUAUAGAUGGGUCAUAACCCUUUGGUUGCAAGUACCAGAAAUGCAGUUUAUACUAAUUAAUGCAAGAAAGAAGAGUUUGGAGGGAUUGUGGAGUAGCCUACCUCCUAGUAAAACAAAAACAAAACAAAACAAAACAAAACAAAAAGUUGAUUAACCAAACCUCCCAAGUGCAGCAAUCUAAGCACAGCCAAAACUGUUAUUAAUAACUAGAAAAUGAUUGGGACCUUCUCCCAUCCUGUCUUCCAUUGCAUCUCUCUGGAUCUUGACUGUCUUCUCCUACCAGAGACAGAUGUCUGAUGUGGGGCUCACUCCUAGCAGCUCCACGCCUAGAGAAGAAAGGGGCUGUGGUAUUGAAAGACUAGUCCAGUUCUUCACCCUUCCAUGUAUCCACACCCUUGGCAUGGCCUCCUAGCGGGUGGUGUAUGCCUGUGCCUUGAGUUUGUGCUUGUUUGUUUGACUUACUUUGGCUAAUGGCAUAAGAGUAUAAGUCAUAACAUGACCCUUCACAGCCUAGGUCUAUGUGACCUUGCAGGUUCUCACUUGCUCUCUUGUGGAAUAUUCCCCAACUAGUCUGCUAAAAGGUUAAAGACUGACUUAAACUGUUUUGACGUUGCUACAAAAAAAAAAAAAUGCCUGCAGCUGGGCAGUUUAUACAGAAAAAAAAUUUAUUUGGGUCACAGUUCUGCAAGUUGUACAGGCACGGCACUGGUAUCUAUCUGAUUUUGGUGAGGGCUUCAGGCUGCUUCCACUCAUGGUGGAAGGUAAAGGGGAGCCACGUGGUGAAAGAGGAAGCAAGAGACAGAAAGAGGAGGAGGUGCCAGGCUCUUUUCAAAACCCAGCUCUCAUGAGAACUCACUCAUCCCCACAAGAAUGGCACCAAGCCAUUUAUGAGGGAUCCUCCCUCAGGACCCAAACACCUCCCACCAGGCCCUGCCUCCAACAUUGAAGAUCAAAUCUCAACAUGAUACUUGGAGGGCUCAAAUAUCCAAACCAUAGCAAAGACAUAGGCAACAGAUGUGCAAACAUGCAGUGUGGACUAGAGACAUCCUUAAAUCAAACCACCCACUGCCAGCCUAAAGACACAUGAGCAGGCCUGCUGAGAUCAGUGGAGCCCACUCAUCAGACCUGAAGAGAUGUGAAGUAAAUAAGUGCUCACUGUUUUAAGUGACUCUGAUUUUAUGGUUCUUUGUUAUGCAGCAGUAGCUGACUAAUACAGGGGGCACCUCUCUUCUAGCUCUAGUUUGAAAAGUCUCGAGAAAGAAUACUCUGGCCCAGUUCGUAACAAAGGCCCGUAUCUGUCCCCAAGCUGUCAGAUAGCUAAAAAACAGAAAUGAUGCCUGCUGGAUGUCAGAAAAAAUAAUAGCUUUCUAAUCUGUAAUACACUGUGGUUUUAAGAGCCAAAUUUAAAAUACUCCACACAUCCAUCUUUUUGAACUAAAUAAAAAGUGAGUUUAGUUAAUACAGUAAAUAAUAAUAAAAUGACAUGGAAUUUAAAUCUAUAGGUGGUAAGAGAGUGAAAAGAAAGAAGACACAGGAAAAGAAGAACAAAUGAAAAGCAAUAUUUGCCAAAACUCUGAGAAGCAGCAAUAUUUCUUUAGACUAAAAAAAAUUUAAAAGCAUACUUUCUAAUAAACAUAUUUUAACAUUUAUCCAAGUAAGAAAACAAUAGGAUUUUUAGAAAUAUCAUUUUACCCCAACUGAGAAAAACACCAACUGUUUUCCCAGGAAGUAACGAGUAUUGUCUCUCAACUCACAGGUAGAAAUGUUGCAUUCAGUGUCUUUUUAUUGCCAUCUGGUUACCAGCAUCAGCUUCCAGGCAAAGGAUUAGAAUAAACUACGAUUUAGUGCCAAAUGCAGAGGGCUCAGGCAAACUGAGCCAGCGGAAGAUAUAGAAGGCAAUGAGCUAGAAAAGUGAGGCAGAGGAGAAAAAACAAAACAAAACAAAAAAAAACACAGCAGGCUCAGAACAAGGAUUUAAAAAUCACAGCCAGAGAGAGUACAAACAGGACAGCGUCACCUCUAUUCUGGUUCCAAGGGUCUUGAAACAAAGCCGGGAGUAAUCUUCAGCUAGCAACACAGAACACAACAGGGCAGAGAGCCCUGGCAUAUCCGACAGCAGCUUCCAAUGUUUGCUCCAGAGGAAUCGAUACAAAAUCAGUGCAGAAAACAACAAGAAGAGGAUCCAUGGGACUGAGUUUGCAGGAGGGAAAGAGAUGCCAGCUCCUGCCUUGGGAAGGGGCACAACAGAAAAACCCACGCACCAAAGAGAGGCAGGCAGAAAGAGGCUAGGCUAGGAGCCUGGCCUCCCUGGGAAGGACAUUGUAGGGAUUGAUCUAUUUCAGUUACAAAGUAGCCAAAAACUGUUUUUUUUUUAAGAGACAGGGUCUCGCUCUGUCACCCAAGCUGGAGUGCAGUGGUGCAAUCAUAGCUCACUGCCGCCUUCAACUCCUAGGCUCAAGCAAUUCUCCUGCCUCAGCCUCCUAAAGUUCUUGGAUUAUAGGUAUGAGCCACCGUGCCCAGCCUAUUUCCAAAUAUCAUUAUUUGGCAAGGAUUGUUCUAUUGAUAUACUGUCCCAGUGGCCUCUCCUUGGUCCCAUAAUGAACUGAAAACAGCCUGCAGGUGAUGAAGUACUUGGGAGAAACAGCUGGGAUGUGGCUGGAACAAAGUUAAGACUGAAAUUUAGGGGCCCUUUAGGAUUCUGCUGCUGAAGACUUUAGAAAUAAUGUUACAUCUUUGUAACUAGGGGCAUAUGUUGAUCCAACUUUUGAUAUUUGCAGCAGGAAAUUGGGUUAAGAGCUGAAUGGUCUCCCUUGCCUAAGCAUUUAUAACAUCUAUACAGUAGUGUUCCCCCUUGCUAUGAAUUAAUACGAACAAUGGGGGCAAUGUUAUUAUACUUAUGACAAGUUUCAAUUUACAAAUAGGCAGUACACCAGAAGUAUGCUUUUAGGUAGGCUGAACUCAAAAGAACGUAUUAGUUUAGAAAUAAAGAUAUGCAUAGUAGAUUAAGUUUUCAGGGUAGACCACAAACCUCUAGUUAAAAGCCAUACAGUGGUAGAAAUAGUUUAGGUUUUUAAUGCCAACUGGUAUACAUUUUUAGCAUUGGACAAUCACAAAUGGACUUAAGAACAUUGCUGUGAGUUAGCUGAGAAUGUUAACGAUCAUUUGGCCUGGUUUUCAUUAGAAAAUGUAAUUCAAAUUGCUGUGGCAAUGGUUGUGGAUGCUUGAAGAAGCUUUGUUUUUGUUUUUGAUAGUUGUUGCACUGUCAACCAGAAACAUAUCUCUAUCUCCCCCUUUCUUUACUUCCAUCUCCAGUGUAGCAUUUAGAAUUCUUUGGGUAGCAAGGGAAAGAAAAUCCAACCCAAACCAAUUCUAUAAAGCAAAUACAUGGGCUCAUGUAACAAACUGCACAGGUGCUUCAGGCAAAGCUUGAUCCAGAGGCAUAAGCACAAGCCCUGGCUCUCUCAGAUCUCUGCUCUCUUAUUCCUCAAGGUCCACCUAGUGACUUCGCAAAAGGUACUGGCCCUUCUCUCAUGAGCACAGCUGCCAGCCUUAUAUGUUUAUAUCACACUCAGAAUGCCGUCUAUCAGUAGGUCCCUGGAGAAGGCAAGAGUUUUUUGUUUUUUGGUUUUUUUCUCAGUAACCCCGGACAAUCUCUCCUCACAGCUUUACGGGAUUUUAGUACCCAUUCUGUACCUAUGACUACGGUCAGAGAGACGGGAUUGCCUGAAUGAUUUAAUUGUACAGGACUGGGGCUAUCAGAUAUGACUGUGCAGGUUGUGCACUGCACAACUUCAAGUUCACUAUACACAUUUAUGACAAUGCAGAUGUGUAGUGGUCCGUUCUCAUGCUGCUAUGAAGAAAUACUCGAGAUUGGGUAAUUUAUAAAGCAAAGAGAUUUAAUUGACUUACAGUUCUGCAUGGCUAGGGAGGCCUCGGGAAACUUACAAUCAUGGUGGAAGGCACCUCUUCUCAGGGCAGCAGGAGAGAGAAUGAGUGCAGCAGGGGAAAUGCCAGACGCUUAUAAAACAAUCAGAUCUCCUGAGAACUCACUCACUAUCACGAGAACAGUGUGAGGGAAACAGCCAGCCUGAUUCAAUUAUCUCCCACCGGCUCCCUCCCAUGACACGUGGGGAUUAUGGGAUUACAAUUCAAGAUGAGAUUUGGGUGGGGACACAAAGCCAAACAAUAUCAAGAUGAUACCCCUUGGAAUUAUCUGAUGCAGUGACCCUAUUUGGGACCCACUUCUAGAGAUGGGAGUGGGAUCCAUAUCACCUUAACACGUGGUUUUUGAGUUAGGGAGGCCGUUCUGCGCUGGGUAGAGAGGAUAUAAAACAUGCUUGGGAGGCAGCCCGUAGAAGCCCACUACUGACAGAUGGCAAGAAAGUGGCAGGGCCUAUGCCCUUUCACACAUUCCCUACCAUGAAGUAGGAACCCUAGAUAAUUACAGAGAGAAGAAACCAAAGUAACUUAGAAAACACUUCAUUCCACCUUUGAGUCCUAACAUGUGAAAGUAAAACACACAAAAUACUCAUUCUCAUCCAUGUCAUUAUUUAUGGGUUUCAAAGCAUUUUCUGAGUCGGCCCUUCACCUACACAACAGUAGCUCCAGGGGACAGCUGGCAGAUAAUAUUAUCCCCAUUGGAGACGUGAAGCAAGUCAGGCAUCUCCCUGCUCAGGUGGAACCCAUCUCCCGCUUACUACAACAGAAACUCCCUGCUUACUUCUGUGCUAUGAGAGGGAGAUCCUAUGGAAAACGAUGAGAGAGGGCAGGAAAGUUGAGUGACAGAGAGGCCAGAAGAGAAAGCACAGAAGGAAGAGAAGAGGAGAUUCAAGGCAAGGAGAGGAAAGCUUUGGAACAAUGGCAGCCACCAACCAAAGGUUCUGUAGUGGUUGACUAGGGCUGCCAUAACAAUGCACCACAGGCCGUGUGCCUUAAACGACAGAAAUGUAUUCUCUCACAGUUCUGGAGGCUGGAUGUCCAAAAUCAAGACAUCAGCAGGGUUGGUUCCUUCUGAGGCUGUGAGGGAGACUGUUCCAUGGCUCCCUCCUAGCUUCUGGGGAUGAAGGUGAUCUUUGAUGGUCCUUGGCUUGGAGAUGCAUCACCCAGUCUCUGCCUUCCUCUCCACAUGGAGUUCUCCCUGUGUGUGAGCCUGUCUCCAGUCUCCGCAUUUUAGAAGGACAUCAGUCAUACUGGAUUAGGAUCCACUCUAAAGGUCCACCCUAAAAUGACCUCGUUUUUACUUGGUAACAACCCUAUCUCCAAAUAAGGUCACAUUCUGAAGUAGUGGGGGUUAGGAUUCUAACACAUGAAUUUGGGGGGCACACAAUUCCCCUCAUAACAGGCACUAAGUCUUUAGAGCCGAGCGGAACAUGAUGUGGCCAACUAGCCACAUGUGGCUACUGAGCACUUAAAAUCUGGCUAAUCUAAAUCGAAAUGAGCUGUGAGUGUAAAAUACACACCAGAUUAAAAAAAAUGAAUGUGCAAUAUUGCAAUAAUUUUUAUAUAGAUUACCUGAUAAAAAUAAUAUUUUGGAUAUAUCUGGUUAAAUAAAAUAUAGUACAGUAUUCAAAUUAAUUUCACCUCUUUUUUUACUUUUUAACAUGUGGUUUCUAGAAAAUUUAAAACUUCACAUGCAACUUGCAUUUGGCUCAUUUUAUAUUUCUACUGGAUGACACUGAUCUAGAAACAGAAAUUCAGAGUCUUUGACACCUGGUCAUUUUGUGAAAAGUUUCUGAAAUUUCUACAUUGUUCUCUGACAAGGAUGGCAAAAUUAAGCAUUCAAUUCACUGAAUUGAAGUGACAUGUAGCAUAUGGUAAAUAUCAAACUUUAUACCUGUGUAACCAACUCUAAAUUUUAAGUAAGUUCUCAUAGAACCUAAGUGGCAGAUAUAUUUGAUCAAUAAGGAUCACACUUCAUUUUUAUUACUAAGAACUCAAUUUGGAACAGGCCACCCAAUAUCAUCUUAUAAGAGUGGCUUUUGUUUAAAGCAAUCACCUUUUCAUUUACCUUGUGUAAGAAAAACAAGGCUGCUUAUCAAGUGUGACUUUAUUAAUAAUUACAUCAGAAUGGCAUGGGU
rnacentral:lncRNA from 10 species